rnacentral:lncRNA from 1 species
UGGGUUUGGGCUAAAACUACGGGUUAAAAGACGCUUGUGCCCCGCAUUUUCAGAUGCACGAGGCACAUUGCUCGUGUGCUAGGCGCAUGGGUGUAUGGCAAAAGCCAUGCCCUAGGCGCAUGGAUGCCUAUCCCAUGUGCUAGGCGCAUGACUCCUCAUCCUGGGCCCAAAUUUUCCGAUUCUCCGUCGUUUUAAGUCUUCGUUUUAAAAUAACUUGCCUAAGGACUUGGGAACAUAGUUGCUCCCAUUUGUAAGUCUUUUGAGGCCUCUUGAAUCUCCAUUAUUUGUUUCCUUGAAUCUUCAUAAUUCUUUAGAUGUUCUUGAUUUGCCAAUUUUCAUGAUUUCUUCGUGAAUUACUUCAAAACCCCCUAAAACUACUACGUUUCGGGAAAGCUAGAAUUACAUACUCAAAUAUAGAAAACAUUACAAAAAUCCUGAAAUCAUAGGCAAUCAUUCUAAUACUCCUCCUUUUUGCUGCUAAAACCUAAUGAAAAUAGCAGAAAAACAUGCUAAGAAUAAUGUAAGAUGACCUGUCAUCAGCAACAUGGAAAGCUUCUCUUCUUUCAAUGGUUGGAAGGGUUCAACUAGUGAAAUAUGUUAUUCCAUCAAUGUUCGUUCAUUCUAUGUCAGUAUAUUCUUGGCCAACUAGACUGCUCAGGGAUUUAGAGAAGUAGAUCAAAAAAUUUAUCGGGAGUUCUGAUCUAAACAAAAGAAAAUCAGUCAUUG